rnacentral:lncRNA from 1 species
GCUCUGUUCUUGCAAUUUUUCUUCCUUUUGCCUACGGCAUUUCCUGGUGUGUGAGGAGUAGGGUGAUUGCCAUUGAACCCCACUAAUUCCUGUGAUUUUACUUUGUGGGAAGUUCUGAUACAUCCAGUAACUGAUGGCCCUGAGAAUGUGCAUGAGCUCCUGCGCUUGGCUGACAAAGGCUUUGGUGCCGGGGUUACUGACAACUAGAAAAGGCGUUGAGUCCACAGGAAUCUGUCCCAGCGAUGAGCUUACUGAGGUUGAGGAGAAACUGCCAUUUCCGCCCUUCCCUGUUAUAAUGGUGGACUAUCCAGAAGGACAGCAAUACUUGAAGCCAAUGGAUGGGAGCCCCCACCCAAAAGAAGAUUCGGAACCCAGAACAACAAACCAAGACCAUACUUGUUUACCCAUCCCAUCUGGGGCAUUUUCCCUGGAAGGCUCCUUCUCUGGGGCAAGCAAGCUUUAAUGAUGAAGUCCCUGAUGAGCUUUAUUGGGUGGUAGUGAUCACCUAAAGCACAGGCUUGGAAAGAUGUUGAUGCCGAGCCUGCACUCCACAGGGAAGAUGUUUGACUGGUUAGCUAGUGAUGCCAACAGUUGAGGCUGCCCUUGUGAAUGCAGGCAAGAGUUCAGAAGUCCAGGGCACAAUUCAGGCUUCGGGAAGCUCAGAGGAAUGAAAUGAAAGGCAAUCAAUUACUCUCCAAAGGCAGAUAUAAAAGGAAAGGGGCGCAAAACCAUGGGAGAUCCUCAAUAAAACUAUACUGGAAAAUUUCAAUGAUUUCCUAACUCUGCCCAAAAGCAACCCAGAAGGGUCUGAGAAAUAGCCCAGAAAAUUCAAGCAACAGUUCAGAAUACUGGGAUCCCCAAAGUAAGCCCAAAGAACCCAAAUGAAACAAAGACACGAAAUAAUAGAACAUAAAAAUAAAACCAAUUCCCGUCCUCAUCUUUGGAAACAUUAAUCUGAGUAGCAGUAUUUGUAAUCAGCAAAAACAGUAAACAACAAG